UUAUAAUUUUUCAUAAUAUAAAAUAUCAAAACUGAAAUCAAACUAGUAAAACUCGUUUAUAUAUUUAUAAAUAAUAGCAUUCGACUCUGAUUUUGAGCUAGUUUAAGAAAAUUUCGAACAUAUUGAAGACAUUUUAUAUAAUUACUACAGUAUAUCGAGAUUGGCAACCGCAGGGUGAUUGUGAGAGAGCAAUCCAAGAAUGAUAGAGGAAGAGAUGCGCAUGUUUGUUUUCAGUCAGCUGUUCUUGCUGACGUCACGGUUGACUUAUUAUUCGCCCGCGCCUUUGAAUCUGAAUUCGAAUUGUAUUUUCGCGUGUAGUAGUAUAUUUUUUAAAAUGAGUUGCGCAGUGUUCGGAUGCAAUAAUAACAGUGUUAAAAAUAGUAGUACGAAAUGGAGAUUUUUCCAUUUCCCUUAGGAUAAAAAAGUACUAAAACAGUGGAUUCAUUUUUGUGCGCACUGUGCGCCAGAAGCCUUCGAAAUAAAUUUGCAGUGUGAAAUGGUUUAAGUUCGCGGAGUCUAACGAAGUUGCUACCUAGCGCUUUUCUCACGUUAACAAGACUAACUUCUGCAGAGGCUAAUGAACGGCAGAAAAGGAUGGAGUCUCGUUUAAACCAGGACGUUUUAGAAAAUUUGUUUGGCGUAAUCAGGUUAAAAGACGGUCUUCACGAUCACCCUGACGGGAAGGAGUUCAAGUAUAGGCUACGUUCCUAUGUACUUGGUCACAACGAAAGACCGAUUACAGAUGAAGGAAAUGUUGAAGUCGACAACACCCCAGAUUUCGAAGGGAAUUACAUCUCUAACCGGUAAUAUUUUUCAACGUGUGUCAGUUGAUCUAAAUUCCGCUGACCCAAUUGAAAAAAAUGAUGACUUGAAGAUUCUGAACAACGACGGGCUUUAAAAUUUGGCAGGGUACAUCUGUAUCAAGGUACAUUCAGAAAACUGUUCGUCUUAUACUUGGGUAGAUCACCUAUCUGAAGGAGGACUUUCAAAACCAACAGAUAUAUUGAUGGAGCAUAUGAGAGCCUUGCAAGCAGUAUUUGACGAUUUAAAUGGUACUGAUUUGCAUAUAUGUAAAAAUUACAUCCAGAAGCACUUAGAUUUAAGUAAUUUUGUAAAUUGUAGCACCAAAGUAAAAGAAUUGUUUUUUAGAGCUAGAAUGUGUUUUAGGAUUCGUUCCUUAAAUAAAAACUUAAUUGAAAAUAUGUACAGCAAAAAAAGAAAAUUAAAAAAGACAAUAAAUUGAUAGUAGGUCACAAAAUAUUCAAUGU